UAUAAAUCCUUUGGAAUAGGGUAUCAUAGAGGGUGAGAAUCCCGUCUUUGACUCAGUGCAUGCUACUAUGUGAUACGUUUCCAAAGAGUUGAUUUGUUUCUUUAAUGAAAAAAAAAAUGGGUGGUAAAUUUCAUCUAAGGCUAAAUAUUGGCGAGAGACCGAUAGCGAACAAGUACCGUGAGGGAAAGAUGAAAAGAACUUUGAAAAGAGAGUUAAACAGUGCGUGAAAUUGUUGAAAGGGAAACGUUUGACACCAGUUAUGCGGGUGGAAAAUCAGUCUUUUGCAGUGGGGAGUUGUGGGCGUUCAGACCGCAAGGCUGGCGUUUGCUUCAUCUUUGUUGUAAGUGAUGAAUUUUUUCAUUUGCAGGUCAACAUCAGUUUGCUUUGCUGGACAAAACCCCAAGGGAAGGUGGCAGCUUAGGCUGUGUUAUAGCCCUGGGGCGAUACAGUGGAGUGGACUGAGGUUUCGCAGUGUGUGCUCUCGGGCAAGGCUGACUGGGUGCUAUGGGAUCGUUCGGCGUACAAUGCAUGCAUUUUGCGUCGUGUCUUUUUCAUACUCGCUCAACUCGGCUCUCCCAC
rnacentral:rRNA from 1 species